GGAGGCAGCAGUGGGGAAUCUUGCACAAUGGGCGCAAGCCUGAUGCAGCAACGCCGCGUGCGGGAAGAAGGCCCUAGGGUUGUAAACCGCUUUCAGUAGGGAAGAAAAUGACGGUACCUACAGAAGAAGGUGCGGCCAACUACGUGCCAGCAGCCGCGGUGACACGUAGGCACCAAGCGUUAUCCGGAUUUAUUGGGCGUAAAGAGCUCGUAGGCGGUUCAGUAAGUCGGGUGUGAAAACUCUGGGCUCAACCCAGAGAGGCCACCCGAUACUGCUGUGACUAGAGUACGGUAGGGGAGCGGGGAAUUCCUGGUGUAGCGGUGAAAUGCGCAGAUAUCAGGAGGAACACCAGCGGCGAAGGCGCCGCUCUGGGCCGUAACUGACGCUGAGGAGCGAAAGCAUGGGUAGCAAACAGGAUUAGAUACCCUGGUAGUCCAUGCCGUAAACGUUGGGCACUAGGUGUGGGUCUCAACCAACGAGAUCCGCGCCGUCGCUAACGCAUUAAGUGC
rnacentral:rRNA from 1 species